GAUGAACGCUGGCGGCGUGCCUAAUACAUGCAAGUCGAACGCAUUGUGGUUGAAAUGAUAUGAAGAACUUGUUCAGAUUUGAUUUUCAACAUUGCAAUGAGUGGCGAACGGGUGAGUAACACGUGGGAAACCUACCUCUUAGCAGGGGAUAACAUUUGGAAACAAAUGCUAAUACCGUAUAAUAAUUAAAACCGCAUGGUUUUAGUUUAAAAGAUGGUCUUGCUAUCACUAAGAGAUGGUCCCGCGGUGUAUUAGUUAGUUGGUGAGGUAAUGGCUCACCAAGACAAUGAUACAUAGCCGAGUUGAGAGACUGACCGGCCACAAUGGGACUGAGACACGGCCCAUACUCCUACGGGAGGCAGCAGUAGGAAUCUUCCACAAUGGACGAAAGUCUGAUGGAGCAACGCGCGUGUGUGAUGAAGGGUUUCGGCUCGUAAAACACUGUUGUAAGAGAAGAAUGACAUUGAGAGUAACUGUUCAAUGUGUGACGGUA
rnacentral:rRNA from 1 species